GGAUGGGAGGGUAAUCUGGCUGCGACAUCUGUCACCCCGUUGAUCACCAGGGUUGAUCUGUCUGGCUAACCUGAUGUCCCUGUCUUCCCUCACCACUCCAUGUGCUCCCCUCCCAAAUUGUGCACUCAGUGCAAGAGGAAGGGCCAGGACUGUUCUUCAGUCCAGGGUGCCUGAGUAGCUGUGCUUCCCUACUAGAACCUCUCAACAUGCUCUCAAGAACACUGGAUUAGGCUGGGGUUCUUAACCUUCAGUCUGUGAUUGUUUCUUAGGCUCUGGAAAUGAAUC
rnacentral:snRNA from 1 species